UCUCGCCUCUACUCUGACUACUACCUCUCUCUACGCAGGUGCCAUCCUAUAGGGAAGGGUAGAAAUGGUUCUGCAUCCAGACACCACUCCUACACCAAACUCUAACUCCCUGACAGAUGGUAAACCUGACAACUCGCCUGGAAAAACAACUAAGAACUCUCUAACUAUUACCACUGAGGCUGGUUCCCUGACCUGACUGCAAAACUCUCAAACAAGAGCUAGAACCCUCAGACAACCCCUCCUACGUACCCUACGAACCUGACAGGCUGACAUCAGACCU
rnacentral:lncRNA from 1 species